rnacentral:lncRNA from 1 species
CUGUGGCUACAUUUCAAGUUUCCUCUUUGUCCGUCCAGCUUCCUCUGCCUGAGUGUGGCACUCUGUCUUGGACCGCGAAGACAAGGCCGCUCCCAGGAAGGCAGUGCAGCGCACAGAGACCCAUUUAAAGGAUGCAUCUCAGUGCCUCCCCCUCGGGACAGAGCGGACAGACCAGGGGUGAUGGUUACCUGGCUUCCCAGAGAACCAUCUGGCAGCCAUGAUGACACGGGCGUACGGCUUUGGUUUCGCUGAUGCCUGUGUAGAUGAACCUUGGUGACUCAGAGGGCCUGAAUGUCGCUGCUUUCAAGGAGAGGCCCAGGAUGGCGGCUCCCAUCGUCCAGGCAGAGGGGGAAUGUGGGGUGCCGGAGUGCCUUGAAGUAUCUCCACUGCCUAGAACCUCCUACAUGGCUGCAAAGGGGGGCGAAGGUACCUUCUUUGUUUUGCGUGGCCACGUGCCCAGAUGAACCACGGGGCAAAACAGACAGGCUGUGUCAGGCAACCCAUAGUCUUUGUCAUGGCUGUGACUUGGGGUAGCAAUGGGGGGUAGGCCGUGUGUUCUCCCCACCCCCUCUGUAUCUGUUGCUCUCCUUGUCCCUGUUAUCAAUAUCUCUGACAGGAAACCUGAAGGACGGAAAGUUUUACGUUGCUCCUGGCCUCAGAAGGCUCAGUUCCUGGUCUCUUGGUCCCAAGAUGGACUUGAACAGAGCAUCAUGGGAGCAUGUGGCUGACCAAGAAGUGGAGAGGAACAGAGGGAGAAAACAAACCUCCCGACUCCCCACAUCCAGCGACCUACUUCUCCCAGCUGAGCCCCACCCCCUAAGUUUCCAGACCCUCCCCAGGUGCGGAACAAGCUGUGGAGCAGGUGUUCAAACCCCAAACCUGGGAGGUCAUCAAAUACUCACACCAUAACACCCUUCUUCGGUGGUCUGGGAGGAUGGUCAGAACUCUGUUAUGGCACCUGAGGGGUGAGGUUGGUCCACUGCAGCAUCUGUGGAUGACGCAUGAGGCAGGAAGGCAAAGUGACUGGUCAUGGAGACUGAGUAAGGCUGUCCUCCAUGCCAACAUGAGAACAUGGGCACAGGCUGCCCCCCACAGUGGAAAAAUAGUGCAGAACUGAGCAAACAAAGAAAGCCAAGCCACCGGAAGGCCAAGGACCAUUCAUCAAGAGGCCAAGGUGCCUUUAUCCAGCUGAACUGUGGGACCAUCAUGGCUGCCCUUGGGCUGCACUGGUUAGGCUUCGAUUGAAGGUUGCAUUUACCGUAGGGUGGGCAUUUAAAGUUUCCUCUAGGCACCAUGAGUCUCACAGGGGCAUGUUGAAGGCAUGUGCUAGAGAGCUGCUUCAAACCUGCCUGAAGGGGAGUCUAGUUUGUCUCAUUCCAGAACAGCCAGCUGGGUAUUCCCUAGGGCGCUCAUUCUGGGACCUGAGAGCAUGGACAGGAGACUUGGCCUGAGCAGGGCCAGCCAGGAGGACAGAGCAGGCUCCUCCAGGCUCUUCCUUCCCCUGCUGACUCUGCUGACUCAUCCCCAGCUCCAA